rnacentral:misc_RNA from 1 species
CCCUCCUUUCUAAGGAUGAUCCUUCAGCGAGCUCACGCUCACUAUCGGAUCGUUUUAGAAACAUCAGUGGCCAACAGAUCGCCAGAUCGUUGAGCUGCAUUGGCGGGAUUUCGCCGUCUUCGUUUCUCUUUCUUCGCGGACGAACACGCGCUGGGCCUGCAACGGCAGGAUCCAGGGUCCUUAACGGGAUGUGCGUUAGGGGCUUGUAGCUCAGUUGGUUAGAGCGCGCGCUUGAUAAGCGUGAGGUCGGAAGUUCAAGUCUUCCCAGGCCCACCACUUUCAUCGAGUGAGCAUUCGUCUUCUGGUUACGGGGCCAUAGCUCAGCUGGGAGAGCGCGUGCUUUGCAAGCAUGAGGUCGUCGGUUCGAUCCCGUCUGGCUCCACCAGAUGGUUUGAUCACCGAGAUCUUGACCGUCGUCCGCGAAACAUCACUUCGCAUCCUGCUAGUCUGGAUAGACAGCAGUUUGCGUGUUUUCUGACAUCGUAAAGAGGAGAUCGAUCCGAGUUGGGUCGUGCAGCAUAUCGUUGCGCGAGCCUUCAUUAUCUCCGGAUCAUUUCGGCGCUCGCUUCCAGCCGUGAGGUUGGAUGCGGGUUGUAAAUGAUCCUUUUAGCGAAGCUUGACCGCCUCGCUAUCGGAACGAUCUUACGAAGCAAGCUGGUCUUUCUAGUCAAUGUCCGGCUGCGGAUAGCGUUCAUCGAGGGCGCGUGCCGCAAGGCAAUUCUGCAGACAACAUUCUGCCGAGUGUGUGGACAUUGAUAAUGAGAGCAAUCAAGUGCCUUAAGGGUGUUCGGUGGAUGCCUUGGCGCUGAGAGGCGAUGAAGGACGUGCUACGCUGCGAUAAGCCGUGGGGAGCUGCGAAGAAGCUUUGAUCCGCGGAUUUCCGAUG